rnacentral:rRNA from 1 species
AUUGAACGCUGGCGGCAGGCCUAACACAUGCAAGUCGAACGGUAACAGGAAGAAGCUUUCUUCUUCGCUGACGAGUGGCGGACGGGUGAGAAAUGUCUGGGAAACUGUCUGAUGUAGGGGGACAUCUACUGGAAACGGUAGCUAAUAUCGCAUAACGUCCCCAGACUAAAAAGGGGGAACUUCGUGCCUCUUGCCAUCGGAUAUGCCCAGAUGGGAUUAGCUAGUAGGUGGGGUAACGGCUCACCUUGGCGACGAUCCCUAGCUGGUCUGAGAGGAUGACCAGCCACACUGGAACUGGGACGCGGUCCAGACGCCUAAGAGAGGCAGCAGUGGGGAAUAUUGGACAAUGGGCGCAAACCUGAUGCAGCCAUACCGCGUGUGUGAAAAAGGCCUUCGGGUUGUAAAGUACUUUAAGCGGGAGGGAAGUGAGUAAAGUUAAUACCUUGGGUCAUUGACGUUACCCGAAGAAGAAGCACCGGCUAACUCCGUG